rnacentral:lncRNA from 1 species
GCUCUGCCUCGCUGUAUUACUGUUGAAGUACUGCCUCCUGCCGGCGGGAGGACUGCACUGCAUGCUCCCUUUGAUCGAGAGGUGUCGCGGUGGCUCCAGUUUCGAAAUUUUGUAAAGUCUGUGUGGCAGUGACCCCAGGUGGUGAAGAGAAGAAACUGUCCGAGCCCGCACUUUUCUGGCAGAAAAGUAGACCCUGGUUCUCAUUCGUUCAAAAUCCAUUCGUUUAUAUUCCAAAAGGUGAGCAUAGAUCUUCGUAGGCGACAUUCUGCGAAAGAAUGCCAUGGCAUUCAAGUGAGUGUAACACAAAGGAAACUAGGGUUACAGAAGAGAAUGCGAGUAGUAUAAAACCUCACAGUUAAAAUGGUGUAAAUCACAGAAGCUAGGAGGGCAACAGAAAAUGAAAUUUCUCAGGAAGAUGAUUUUUGCACGUUCGAGUCUAAAAAGCUGCGGUUCCCACCCUUCCAGCAAUAACAUCAGGCACUCGAUCUGGGCCUGAUGUUUCCUUGGGGAACGCGUGUCUUUUCCACUGCGUCCUUUAGUGCGCUGCCGGUGUGCAUGACAGAAGAGGCCCUGCACUUUGAUCGGGAGUACAGCUCUGAGUGGCAGCCUUCAUGUGGUCCCCAGCGUGUGAUCAGAUGUCACUGGAAGACACAGAAACCAUAAGAAACGGAAGUGCAACUUCAAGCUUUAACCAGAAUACUUCUGGAGCUCUGAACUAUGGGAAAGGGCUGCCAUGUGCAAAGGAAAAAAAGAAAGAAAAAAAAAACCCGCAAGACAGGAUGAGGCUUCCUGUCUUCAGACUCCAGAAAAACACACCUUUGCAGAAUAAGAGACUUAAAACCAUGAGCAAGGCUAGCAUUCCCUUGUUUGAACCAGUAGAAAUGGCAUGUGCUCCUUAGCUGAAGCCAACACACAGGAGAAGUAGGAGAGAUAGAGCAGGUGAGGAAGCACACUUUUGUAGCAAGAGUUAGGAGGUGGAUAGGAGGACGUCUAGCCCCAAGCAGGAGCAGAGCCCACCAGCAAGCUGCUUGUGGAGGCAGCCUGUAACAAGCUAUUUGAGACUUCAAGCUGAGCUCUCGCCUCUACGCGUGUGAGGAUCCCUUAUAAAUAGCUCAGAGGAAGAAAAUGCCUGAGCGUGCUUUAGAGAAGCAAGUUCACUACACAGAAGAAGCUGCAAGUAGGCUGCAGGCAUAUUAUAGCUCCACUCAGGAGUGAACCUGACCAUCCUCUUCGUGUGGAGAGGAGAUAUGGCCCAAGAUGAGAGGAGACCAGAGAUGAAGUCUCAUUACCCA